rnacentral:rRNA from 1 species
GACGAACGCUGGCGGCGUGCUUAACACAUGCAAGUCGAACGGAAAGGCCCUGCUUUUGUGGGGUGCUCGAGUGGCGAACGGGUGAGUAACACGUGAGUAACCUGCCCUUGACUUUGGGAUAACUUCAGGAAACUGGGGCUAAUACCGGAUAGGAGCUCCUGCUGCAUGGUGGGGGUUGGAAAGUUUCGGCGGUUGGGGAUGGACUCGCGGCUUAUCAGCUUGUUGGUGGGGUAGUGGCUUACCAAGGCUUUGACGGGUAGCCGGCCUGAGAGGGUGACCGGCCACACUGGAGUUGAGACACGGUCCAGACGCCUACGGGAGGCAGAAGGAGGGAAUCUUACGCAACGGGCGAAAGGCUGACGGAGCACCGCCGCGUGAGUGACGAAGGUCUUCGGAGCGUAAAACUCUGUGAUUAGGGAAGAACAGAUGGGUAAGUAAAUGUGCACAUCUGGACGGUAACUAAUAAGAAAGCCACGGCUAACUACGUG